UAAGCCAACAUGCUGGGUUUGUAAUAAUUUUUAAGAGCACUCUUAUUUGGCAAACGGAUCAUGAUCCCAGCUAAGGAAAUAGAGUUGUUCCUCAUGUAAGGGUCUUUGUGCUAAAAGCAUAGGAAUAGGC
rnacentral:snoRNA from 1 species